rnacentral:rRNA from 1 species
UACGUAGGUGGCAAGCGUUGUCCGGAAUUAUUUGGCGUAAAGCGCGCGCAGGCGGCCUCUUAAGUCUGAUGUGGAAGCCCCCGGCUCAACCGGGGAGGGCCAUUGGAAACUGGGAGGCUUGAGUAUAGGAGAGAAGAGUGGAACUCCACGUGUAGCGGUGAAAUGCGUAGAGAUGUGGAGGAACACCAGUGGCGAAGGCGACUUUUUGGCCUAUAACUGACGCUGAGGCGCGAAAGCGUGGGGAGCAAACAGG